CUCUUGACUUCGGAGUAGAUGCAGGAGACGGGUUGAUUCUCGUGGUCUUUUUCCUCUCGAGGAACCUAGCCCAGGAACAUCCCAUGGUUUCAUAUCAAAUUGAAGCAACAAAGAAGCCCUGUGUCACCCCUUCUCCAACCCCCAUUCCCAUCUUUGGAGACACUCAGGGAGGGGACAGGGACCCCGGUGACUCCCUAGAACCAGCGCUCCUAGGGCAAGGCAGAGGUGGGAGACAACCCGGUCUUCAGGCCAGUGAAGUGAUGCCUCAGUCUGAUUGUGUUUGAAGAUUUGCUGGGGCUAUUGUGUGACAAUUGAGGGCAAAGAAGGGAAAACAGAAGCAAAGAAAACUGUUUCAAAAGUCUUGGAAUUGCUACUGUUAAAAGGCUGCGGUUCAUUUCUGAUUUCCUCAUCUUUUGCUACAAAGGAAAAAGAAAUCCAAUGAUGUGUCUACCUUUGGUGAGAAGAAAACACGAGCAACAGCAGUGUAGGUUCGAAAGUCAUUGUGCAGAGAGGGCAGGAGUGAAUUAAGGCCCCGGGGACCGCGGACGCCUGGCCAGGAGACCGCCUGAAAUAUGAGCCGAACCUGUUUUGCAGAAACUGCAGGCUGUUCAGAAUCCAAUUCUCUGGAUAUUGGCAUGCUACAUUCAAUGUCCAGCUACAUUAAGUGUCCAUCUAUCAAAAUACUAGAUUUCAUGGCUGGAGCAGGAAAAGUUAUGAGCUUGGAAUAUCUUCAGUGCCUGAAAGUGAGGAAGUGCUCCCAAAAAUAUGAAGGCCUGUCAAAAGGGAGAGAACAAGAAGGAGGAGGAGCUAGAAAAAGAAAAAGCAGUGGGAACUGUCAUGGGUGAAUCCCAGAAUGGGCAUCCCAGAUGACAUCUGUCUCCAUUCCUGCCAUCUCUUCCUGGCUGCCAGCCACUUAGCCUCCAGGUGUUUGUGUCUAAGGCCAACUCUCUUUCCAGACUAGAAGAAAGUGAGGCAGCUCACCUUUUCAUUUAGGUUUACUUUGGAAAGUUCUGUGGUUGAAUAUCAACAUAGUGACUGAUUUGUGGCUGUAAAGCUGUAGCAGCUCAGGUAGCACAUGUAAGAGUGAGACUGGAUGGAGAGACUGGAUGAAUUAUGCCAUCUUACCAAGGCAUUGAUUAGUUGAUUAAGGCUUGUUUGAGCAAAAAAGUGAGUUAUAUCAGAUAUAGUUAUAUCAGAUACACUGAUACUCAAAUCCCACCAGAGAACUCAGCAGGCCACCGAUAACCCAUUCACUUUUCUUCUCCCGUGACUUUACUCAUCUUAUUAUUAAACAAGGAAUGUCUUGGUCCACCACUGAACCAAGUUUAAGAGUCAACUCAAAUGCCACUUACUUCUUGAAGCCCUUCAUGAUACUGUCAAGGAUAAUGGAAAUAUAUGAUUUCUCCCUUUCAUCUAUAUAAAUUAUUUCCCCAUAUAUACAUUAACAUGUCGUCAGGAAACUUAACAGAAAUAUGGUAACUCUUAUUAAGUUUCCUUUAAGCAUUUUUUUCUAUACUUGUGCCUUAGAAAAAUUGGAAGAACUAGAAAUGGAAAUAUUGCAGAGUGAGAAACUUAUGGGAUGUUCGUUAGAGAGAGUAUCAUGAAGGAAAACAUGAGAUUAAAGACACUGCAACUAUCUGAGAGGCCUGUGUAAAAUUGUGUAAGCAAAAUAAGGAAUCUAAUAUUGAAAUAUGCAAAUAAUUUUACUUUUAGGAACUUAGACUCCUUUGUAGAGCAUUAAAUUUUAUGCUAUAUUAAGUAGAGGUAAUGCUGUUUUGUACAUAAAAACUAUCUUUGGAUUAUUUACCUUUCCUUUUCUUUCCGAAAUUGUUGUCUUUUCAACUCCGUCUUUAGGGACAGACAAAUGAUCAGCUGAGUGGUAUAAUUAAUAGAAGCACCAGUUUUAGAAGCUCUACUUCUGGAAGUAGAAUAAAAAGGAGGUGUAACCCAGAGUUUAAGAUAUCCACUGAUAAUGAGAGUAUUUGAGUGAUGGUAAAUGGCAAGGAGAAAGACUUAAAGAUCUAUCUAGAGACAAACCCUUAUACUCUAGGCAUGCUGCCAGAUAAAGACUAAAAACAGCGUGUAAGAUGGCAAGGAAAAUGUGCUGUUUGGUUUCUUCAUUGCCAUAAAAGCCACUGAGAAGGGCUUAAAGAGAUAUGCCAUUCCUAAAUGGUAACAUUAGACUUCUUGUUCUAUGACUUGAGUGAAAAAUUUUGCCAUUAGGAAAUGGGGACAAGGAAUGUCAUCUUCAACACAGGGUAGCUUUUUGGUCUAUCUACUCGUGGUCAACAAAAGGUACAGUAAGUAAGGUCACAGAAUGGUCACCCCACUUUGGUUCAAUCCUGUUCUUGGACAGAUCAGUAACUCAACGACGCUUUGUUUUUCUUUUGUGAAGCCUCUUCAGCCUUGAUCAUAAUGAUUUCAUUAGCAGUGUGUGCUUGAUUUUUGCACACCCACACAAUGUUUUGUAUUACCCAACAAACUUACAGAAUGUAGCCACAGCUUCUUGCUCCAGGAAAUGUCUAUCAAUUUAAUUAUUAAAACUAGUUUAAUGUUUGGUGCCCUGUGAGCAGGAUCUUUAAGAUGAAAUGAGCCAAUCCACAUUCCAUUAUUUCACUGACAUUUAACAUAAUCCUUGCAGCUAUCAAGCUAUGCCUCCCAAAUCUAAGACAAUGAGUAAAUGUUAUUAGUUGAAUCGGUGACUAAAUCAGCUAAAAUGGUUGCUUGACUAAAUGAACGAGUUACUUGAUACAUCGUGAACACAUUGAAGGAAAUUGGAAGAAAUGGAAUUCUGGCUCCUGGGUCCCUAAAAAUUGCUGAGUGUGUUUCCUUUUUUGUAAAAUAGGUAUAUUAAUAUUUUGCCUAGAUGUGUUACAGUAAAGAUUAAAAAUAAGUCAAGUAAAAUAUCUAGCAUAUAGCAGAGAAUAAAUGGUUGCUGUAACUUAUUAUGAUUAUUUAUUAAAAGUUCAAGUUGCUUUGAAGAAAUU
rnacentral:lncRNA from 10 species